AACCAGGGCGCCUGGGAAAUACGGCCGCCAGGCUAAAACCUCAAAGGAAUGUACGGGGACCCGCACAAGCAGUGGAGCGCCUGGUUUAAUUCGAUGGUCAGCGAAGAACCUCACCUAGGCUUGAACUGUAGCUGCACGCUCCCAGAAACGGGAGAAUCCUUCGAGGGUGCUACAGAGGUGCUGCAUGGCUGUCGUCAGCUCGUGUCGUGAGAUGUAGGGUUAAGUCCCACAACGAGCGCAACCCCUAUUCAGUGUUAUAAUUACUCUGAAGACUGCCCUGUCCAAACGGGGAGGAAGGAGGGGACGACGUCCGGUCAUCAUGUCCCUUAUGUCUAGGGCUACACAGACGCUACAAUGGCCGGUACAAUGGGUUGCCAAACCGCGAGGUGGAGCCAAUCCCAUCAAAGCCGGUCCCAGUUCGGAUUGCAGUCUGCAACUCGACUGCAUGAAGUUGGAAUUGCUAGUAAUCGCGAAUCAGCACGUCGCGGGAAUACGUUCUCGGGUCUUGUACACACCGCCCGUCAGGGCACGGGAGUCGCUCUUGCUCGAAGU
rnacentral:rRNA from 1 species